AGAGUUUGAUCAUGGCUCAGGACGAACGCUUGCGACGUGCCUAAGAAAUGCAAGUCGAACGGGGGAGCAAUCCCUAGUGGCGAACGGUCGCGUAACACGUGGGCAACCUGCCCUGAAGCGGGGGACAACAGUCCGAAAGGGCUGCUAAUACCGCAUGUGAAGGGGAAUGGCAUCAUUCCUUGUUCAAAGCUUUAUGCACUUCAGGAUGGGCCCGCGGCCUAUCAGCUUGUUGGUGGGGUAACGGCCUACCAAGGCUUCGACGGGUAGCUGGUCUGAGAGGACGGCCAGCCGGAUUGGGACUGAGAUACGGCCCAGACUCCUACGGGGGGCAGCAAUUAGGAAUCUUGCACAAUGGGCGAAAGCCUGAUGCAGCGACGUCGCGUGGAGGAUGAAAUCUUUCGGGAUGUAAACUCCUUUUCUCAGGGAAGAAAAAAAUGACGGUACCUGAGGAAUAAGCCCCGGCUAACUACGUGCCAGCAGCCGCGGUAAUACGUAGGGGGCGAGCGUUGUCCGAAGUUACUGGGCGUAAAGAGCGCGUAGGCGGACCCUUAAGUGAGGGGUGAAAGGUUCGGGCUCAACCCGGAGAGUGCCUUUCAUACUGGGGGUCUUGAGUGCGGGAGAGGCAAGUGGAAUGGUCGGUGUAGCGGUGAAAUGCGUAGAUAUCGAUCGGAACACCCGUGGCGAAGGCGGCUUGCUGGCUCGCAACUGACGCUGAGGCGCGAAAGCGUGGGGAGCAAACAGGAUUAGAUACCCUAGUAGUCC
rnacentral:rRNA from 1 species